UAUAGUGAUUCUGCACGUCAAUUUGCUGCAUUGUAUGCGAGUACACUGAUGUCAUGGGACAAGUUCAAGGAUAGUCAUGAUUACUCGCAGAAAAGAAGAUUCCGGCGCCGCAUCUCGAUAAAAACAACAUACUUAAAGAUAGCCAGAGUAAUAGAAUGGAGUUCGUUGUUUGCAAUUUAAAUAAUGUAUCAAUUUUAAGUUAAAUCUUUUGACGUCCGAGCUGCAAAUUGUCGUUGAAUACACCAGUCUCUCACAGGAUCAACUCUAAUUUAACUAUGGACAUAGAUCUUUCAGAUGUCGAGUCGAUAAAAAGCACAACAGUCGCGCCGGUUGAUGGCAGGUUCCGCGAACAGGAAUAUGAUUUCAUGCAACCGUCUAAUGAAGUUGAUAACGUUUUCACUACCGGUUGCACAAGUUCUGUAGCUUCAACAAUCGGUGGACAGUCGAGUAUCUGUCAAUGGGAUCAUCUGACAGCAACUAUUACCAAAAACAAUAAAUCAUCUGAUAAGUGGGAAGUCAGAUUGUGAAGUCGAUUACCUGCAGUGCACACGCGAAGCGCACAACCGUGAACGACCAAUGCUAUACAAAAUACCGGUGACCUUCGUCUAGUCGUGCGACCUUCAAAUGCGACAUUUGUAAAACGAGAAACGUUGGAAACGAAACCGAAUAUUUAAUACCUAUUUUGAAUUGUGCAAGCAAUAAUGUGGCAACCAAUACACGCUUAGAUAUCCAUACCGGGUAGAAGCAGAACCAGCAGCGGUGGUGGAGUGCUAGAAAGAAAAAGCGUGCCAAUUUUUCAAGGUCCCCUUUGCGGACAUAUUUUUUUGUACCUGUCCGUAAAACUCACGCAAGACUAGACUGGCUGCUCACCCGACGUGGGGAACUGCUGACUGCACUUAAAAUUUUCGGUUAUUUCUUGUGCUCCGUUGAUACGCUAAAAAAACCGGCACAAAAGUGAACGCCAAUUACGUCGCCGAGUAAACCACGAAACCAUCACGAAUUACACUACUAGGUAUUGGACAAACAUAAAAUUUACAUGCCUCUCUGACACAAUUUUGACCACAGUUCAGCAAUCGAGUAAGCGAUGAAUGAAGAAUGUAGCCUUUCUAGUUAAUCGCAAGACACAAGUAUUUCACAUACGAAAAAAGAAUUAGGUGUAGCUACUUGCGGUUUGUUUACAAAUGUUGGCAAACCAGAAUGAUGGAGUAUGAAGAAACUGACCACAAUCUCGAAUGGUACUAUGGAAUGCCACUUGUGGCCAGAUGUUGAUUAGGGAACAUAAAGAUGCUGAUGCUUUCAUGACUGUUCAAUACCGGCAGCAAUAUAAAACGGUAACUCCUCGUUGGAAACAACCCAUGGCAAGAAUCAGAGCCAGCAUAACAUGUCGCAACGAAUGGCGAUCAUUAACCGUUGAGAACACCUUGAGAUUGGUCAUUAAUCUUUUCAUUCUAUGUCUUCCCUGACUGGAACCAUCGACUGAGAUUGUAGAUAUUGUGAAGAAGUGAUUGUAAUGGACAUAAAAAAUAAUGUGAAGCUAAUAUUAGAGUUGACUGAGCAGGAUCGCUGAUAAUUUGCAAUUAUGAUGAGGUAUCAUACGCUGAGAAUGGUACAAGAACUCUAAACUUACGCAUUAUAGAUUAUUAUAGCACAAUUUUUCACACCGGUCUUUCCCAUUUCCUAUCAACUUAAUACGUAAGAUACCUGGUUAAGUGGUAUUUAAUGGGAAAAUACCUUUUACAGGGCACAUUUACCUAUCAUGGCAAGCUUUUUUCUAGUGGAACAUAGUGGAGUAUUGCAACAUUGUAUGGUUUUCUUGUUCAAUUAACCUACUCGAAACUCAAGAUUCGAGUAGUCGUCAUCGAAAUUAUAGAUUUCAAAAGCAGUGUGGCAUUAGCAAUUCCAUGGAA